rnacentral:rRNA from 1 species
GAUGAACGCUGGCGGCGUGCCUAAUACAUGCAAGUCGAGCGAACAGACGAGGAGCUUGCUCCUCUGACGUUAGCGGCAGACGGGUGAGUAACACGUGGAUAACCUACCUAUAAGACUGGGAUAACUUCGGGAAACCGGAGCUAAUACCGGAUAAUAUAUUGAACCGCAUGGUUCAAUAGUGAAAGACGGUUUUGCUGUCACUUAUAGAUGGAUCCGCGCCGCAUUAGCUAGUUGGUAAGGUAACGGCUUACCAAGGCAACGAUGCGUAGCCGACCUGAGAGGGUGAUCGGCCACACUGGAACUGAGACACGGUCCAGACUCCUACGGGAGGCAGCAGUAGGGAAUCUUCCGCAAUGGGCGAAGGCCUGACGGAGCAACGCCGCGUGAGUGAUGAAGGUCUUCGGAUCGUAAAACUCUGUUAUUAGGGAAGAACAAAUGUGUAAGUAACUAUGCACGUCUUGACGGUACCUAAUCAGAAAGCCACGGCUAACUACGUG